rnacentral:rRNA from 1 species
UACGUAGGGGGCAAGCGUUGUCCGGAUUCAUUGGGCGUAAAGAGCGUGUAGGCGGCCAGGUAGGUCGGUUGUGAAAACUGGAGGCUCAACCUUCAGAGGUCGACCGAAACCAUCUGGCUAGAGUCCGGGAGAGGAGAGUGGAAUUCCUGGUGUAGCGGUGAAAUGCGCAGAUAUCAGGAAGAACACCCGUGGCGAAAGCGGCUCUCUGGACCGGUAUUGACGCUGAGGCGCGAAAGCCAGGGGAGCAAACGGG